rnacentral:lncRNA from 1 species
GUCCCCAAGACAACUUGGCAUGAGGUGGGGCAACCAAUUUCUCUUGCAGGUACUGGUCCCAUCUCAUAGCCGCACCCCUGCAUCUGCCCUAUCCCUUCUUGGACAGUGAGCCCCAGAGAAGGGGGAGCCCCAGGGUCCCUCUGGCUCAUCACUCUGUGGUUGGUUGAAUUUACAAAUGCAGAACCCACAGAGACAGGGGGCCAACUGUGCAGCAGUGAGGGUCUGGCUCUGUAACCCAGGCUUGAAUGCAGUGGCAUGAUGGGUGCAAUCUUGUUACCUGUUACUGGUCUCUUCAGGUUUUCUUUUUGGCUCAAUCUUGAGAUGGAGGCUCGUUUUGUUGCCCAGGCUGGAGUGCAGUG